CUCAGAGCGGUUGAACUGUAGCGAUGUGUGUACCAAAGAAAAGAGAACGAAUCAGUGUACAUCAAAAAACACACCCUCGGACACCAAAAAAAUCUCACGAUUAUGAUAUCCCGCUUAACACUGGUAAAUCGAGCAAGAUAUAUGCGGCUGUAGUCUUUGUACGUUCCAAAGUUGAGGACAUCAUCCCCUUAGUGAACGUAUGUACAAAACUUGUUUUCCCAUAUUCAGGGCCCGUAUAAAUGCCAAAAUAGGGAAGGCUGGAUCCGUUGGGUCACCAUUCUUUGUGGGUGGGUGAGACCUUAGACGAAGUGCAAAGACUUCGACGAGGCAAAGGAGUCCGCGCAGUGCUUGCAUGUCCAGUAGACCAUACUACUUCUUCGGGGACAUCACUAGGCCAAUCCCAAGAAGCAUUAGCUCUACCACCGAAAAAACGAAAACUGGUGCCCACUGCUGCCAAUGUCGCGCUCUAUGAUACCAUACUGGCUGCGACCAUGCCGGCGCGACUACAAGAGCCCCAGCCCUCAACAUCUCGGGCAAGCAGAUAUGUCGUAUCGCCAUCGCCGUCACCGUCGUCGUCGCCGUUGUGCUCUCCAAUACCCGGUUGCGUUUCUCCACAACAAUCUGCGGCAUCGACGAGUACCGAAGGCGGAAAGCCCACACCCUUAGGACCGAAGACCAGGCCAAACGGAUUAGAAAAGUGGAAAGGGAGGUGAAACUCUACAGGCGCCCCAACCGCGAGCUGCCGAAGGACGUCAUUGCAAAAA